rnacentral:tRNA from 1 species
GCAUAGUUUAAUGGUAGAAUGGGGGUCUCCAAAACCUUUGAUGUGAGUUCGAUUCUUACUGCU